ACAGUGUCUGGUGGGUAGUUUGACUGGGGCGGUCUCCUCCUAAAGAGUAACGGAGGAGCACGAAGGUUGGCUAAUCCUGGUCGGACAUCAGGAGGUUAGUGCAAUGGCAUAAGCCAGCUUGACUGCGAGCGUGACGGCGCGAGCAGGUGCGAAAGCAGGUCAUAGUGAUCCGGUGGUUCUGAAUGGAAGGGCCAUCGCUCAACGGAUAAAAGGUACUCCGGGGAUAACAGGCUGAUACCGCCCAAGAGUUCAUAUCGACGGCGGUGUUUGGCACCUCGAUGUCGGCUCAUCACAUCCUGGGGCUGAAGUAGGUCCCAAGGGUAUGGCUGUUCGCCAUUUAAAGUGGUACGCGAGCUGGGUUUAGAACGUCGUGAGACAGUUCGGUCCCUAUCUGCCGUGGGCGCUGGAGAACUGAGGGGGGCUGCUCCUAGUACGAGAGGACCGGAGUGGACGCAUCACUGGUGUUCGGGUUGUCAUGCCAAUGGCACUGCCCGGUAGCUAAAUGCGGAAGAGAUAAGUGCUGAAAGCAUCUAAGCACGAAACUUGCCCCGAGAUGAGUUCUCCCUGACCCUUUAAGGGUCCUGAAGGAACGUUGAAGACGACGACGUUGAUAGGCCGGGUGUGUAAGCGCAGCGAUGCGUUGAGCUAACCGGUACUAAUGAACCGUGAGGCUUAACCUUACAACGCCGAAGCUGUU
rnacentral:rRNA from 1 species